AUUAAGGGCUGAUUGCUCAACAGCUGUACAAGUCCCAUAAAGCUGCCAGAAGAACAGCACACAGGGGAGAGAGUGGGGGAAGAAAGGACUCCCAUAUAGUUGGGGACAGUUGCAGAGGUAACAGGAGUGAGUUCAGUUUUUGAUCCCCACAGGAUACAGCAAGACCCGGAGACAAGAAGAAGAUAUCGUCUCAUGGGGGAGAUCUAUUCUUUUCUUUUGAACUAUUAUUUUAGUAAACACCUUUGAAACUGAGUUCAUCCUACUCUGUCCGUGUCUGAUCUGUGUAAACGUUUUGACCCAACCCCUGGUAUGCCACAAGUGGUGGAGAAUGCGGGCAUUCUGAUAACGUGGUCAGAUCAGGGUUGACGUUUACACAGCAUCAGCAUGGACGAGAUGACAGCUCAGUUCGUCCGGGCCCAACAAGCACAACAUUCUGUUCAGGAACGAACGCUGGAGGAACAGCGACUACAAAACAUCCGCCUCGUUGAGGACAUCAGGAAGCAGCAAGGAGGAGCGUCUCCUGAAUUACAUCCCAACCUGUUUUUAAUCAAGCUAACGGAAGACGAUGACAUCGAAACAUACCUCUGUACGUUUGAACGGACAGCGCUACGGGAAGGAUGGCCAAGGCCGAAGUGGGCAAGUCUGCUGACCCCGUUCCUCUCUGGGAAUGCCCAAAAGGUGUAUUGAGACCUGAAUGACAAACAGGCAGCUAACUACGACGGACUCAAACGGGAGAUACUCAGCCGCUACGGGUACAGCCUGGCCCAUCGGGCUCAACUGUUCAAUGACUGGAGGUUCGUACCCGACACAUCCCCCCGAGCCCAGAUGAGCAACCUACUGCGCGUCACCAGGGCAUGGCUCCUAACCAACAUAUCCACCCUCUCCAUCCUCGAUAAAGUGGUCCUGGAUCGCUACCCCUGACAUGAAGAGGGCAGUGAGUCUAUGUGCGCCCCAGACCUUGGAGCGCCUACUGGAAGCAGUGGCGACGUAUCAGAACACUCAGGCCCUGCUGAGUGGGAGCCGGGCCGUGUCGGCGACCCGUUCGAGGAGACAGAAGGACAGCCCCACCGCUGUGUACCCCAAACCGACAGUCGGCAGAGUGAAAGGACCGCAAACCCAUGGAGAUGGCUGGGAUAGGGCCGAACCGCCACCGACGACCUCAGUUAGAUGAGACCAAAGGAGGUGUUUUGAGUGUGGCGCCCGUGGGCACAUUGCCUGGAAUUGCCCGGCUCGAGAGGAGUCGAUGCCAUCAGCAAGCCCCGGAGGCGAGGUGGGUCACGCUGUGAAUUAUGUCACCUCCUGUUGGGCGCACCGCGAAUCAACUGCACCCAUGGUCCUGGUGAAGGUUGACGGACACAAUACGGAAGCUCUAUUAGACUCCGGAAGUAUGGUUACGCUCGUAACCACGAGCCUGCUGAACCAGGAGACCGAACGGGGUAGGGAGAUGUCCAUUUCCUGUGUUCACGGUGACACAAAGCGGUAUCCAACCGUACGGACCAACAUCGUGACACCACAAGGGAGCUGCAGUACCUGGGUGCAGUACCAGAGUUGCCGGUACCUCUCCUAGUGGGACGGGAUUGUCCGCUGUUCACGGCCCCAUGGGGUCACGAGCUGAAGAAAAAGAUACGAGCCGGCCGAAGAAGAGAGCGGGGACGAGCCAUUGCCUGUGCAACACGGAAACAACCGGUUGACCAACCUGUAUCUACGGGUCCGGAGUCGGAGGGGGCGCCGGAACCUGAUCCCCCACCCCCCUCCUCGAUUUCGAGGGGCCAGUCGAGACACUCGCUGGGGGCCGACUGAGGGGACAAUUCGGGACGGCCCAGUGGGAGGAUCCGAACUUGAAAGCCUUCGCAGCCCAAGUGAUAGCGGUGGAUGGACAGCUACUUCUAGGCGUGAGUAACUGGCGAUACCCCCAUUUCCAAAUCAAGAAUAACCUUUUGUAUCAGGUGUCGCGCCAACAGGGGGAACUUCGAGCGGUAUUGUUACUGCCCCGACGGUACAUGGGAACCAUUCUUCAGCUGGCCCACACCCACCUGUUGGGGAUGCACCUGGGAAUGGAGAAGACCCGAGAAUGGAUCGCCGCCCGGUUCCACUGGCCCGGGAUGAGGAGGGCUGUGGAUAACUACUGUCGCAGGUGCCCGGAGUGUCAACUCCCUGCCCCAAAAGCACACUGCCGAAACCCACUGGUCCCCCUACCGAUUAUCGGGGUGCCCUUUGAACGCAUCGCCAUGGAUAUAGUUGGACCCCUGGUAAAAACAGCACAAGGACACCAGUACAUCCUUGCGAUAGUAGAUUAUGCCACCCGGUAUCCCGAGGACAUUCCCCUAUGGCCAGCGUUAUCCAAGGGAAUCGCCCGGGAGCUGUUCCACCUCUUUAGCCAGAUCAAACGGAUCCAGACCUCCGUCUUUCACCCGCAGACGGAUGGGCUCGUUGAGCGCUUCAAUAAAAUGCUCAAACAAAUGCUGCGGACGGUCAUCAAGCAGGACGGGAAGAACUGCAAUCAGCUACUACCCCACCUAAUGUGGUAAGUUCCUGACAACAUGGCACGGGCCGUACGAGGUGAUCGAGAAGCUGGGACCUGUCAAUUACUGCGUACGGGGACGGUUGCAGAGUUGGGGACGGUUGCAGAGGUAACAGGAGUGAGUUCAGUUUUUGAUCCCCACAGGAUACAGCAAGACCCGGAGCCAACAUCCAAGAAGACAACAUCCCGGAGAGGGUCUCAUGGGGGAGACCUAUUCUUUUCUUUUGAAC
ensembl:lncRNA